CAGCAACCGUUGAAGUCAGUUCCCCAGAGGACCAUUGCCCUGCGACCACCCAGCGGACUGGAGGGGCAAGGCCAGCCUGACAUAAUCAGGCUUGGGACCCACCAUGAAGCCUGCAUCCACCAAGCCUGGGUCCAGACUCUCAACUUCACAGUCAAAGGUGCCUGCUGCCUCUGCCGCACCUCACCACAGACCUUCAGUACCAGGAACGCCAAAGAGCCAGAGACCUUCAGUACCCAGACCACCAUCUCACCAGGGACCUUCAGUACCCGGAACGCCAACCAGCCAGGGACCUUCAGUACCUGGAACACCAACAUAUCUGCGACCUUCAGUACCGGGAACACCAAUCAGUCAGGGACCUUCAGUACCGGGAACACCAAUCAGCCAGGGAUCUUCAGUACCGGGAACACCGAUCAGCCAGGGACCUUCAGUACCAGGAACACCAUCCCGCCAGCGAUCUUUAGUACGCUCCACACCAUCCAGCUACAGACCCACAGUACGCUCCACACCAUCCAGCUACCGACCCACAGUACGCUCCACACCAUCCAGCUACCGACCCACAGUACGCUCCACACCAUCCAGCUACCGACCCACAGUACGCUCCACACCAUCCAGCUACCGACCCACAGUACGCUCCACACCAUCCAGCCAGCGACCCUCAGUACACUCCAUACCAUCCACUAAGUCCUUGCAGUCAGUGCACAGAGAUCACACUGCGGACAAAUUACCAAGGAAACACACCAAACAUGAGAAAGUGCGGCCGACUCGACCUGCCCCAGUGUCUGAGAAAAUCAAGAUACCGGAAACCGUCAAAAUACAGGAUAAGGACAGGGUCUCAAAAAGAUUCAGAGAUGGCUUCUGUAAUUUUUGCUGCUCAGCCAAUGGGAUGUUGAAGGCCUUGAGGAUGUGCAUUACUGCAGCAUCGGUAUUUUGUUUCGUCAUUGGUGGCGCCCAGGACCUGUUUGUAGCCAUCAUGAUUCAGGAAACCUGCAUCGUCUUAUUUUUUAUUAUAAUCUAUUUGAUAGCCCUUCAACACUUCCUGACCUGUAUCCACUGGCCUCUGCUUGUCUCAGCAUGUUUUCCAGGGUAGCCUUGAGCUCACUCUGUGCCACAAGCACAUCUGGAACUUGAGAUCUUCCCGAGCAGCUGGAAUCAUAGGAUCUGAUCAACACUCUCAUUUCAAUGGCAUUUCUUGGAAUAGUUAGCAUAAUAACCAUGACGACAGAAAACAGUGAAAAGAAUCUGACUUUUAUUGGAGGGGUCCUGUGCUUCUCGGCAGCAGUCCUGUGUGUCAUCGAUGCAUUGUUGGUUACCGAAAAGAUGAGGCACAAAGCAAAAA